rnacentral:snRNA from 2 species
AUGUGGAGGGUAUCAAGUGUAGUAUCUGUUCUUAUCAGUUUAAUAUCUGAUAUGUGGGCCAUGUCUCCACAAUGAUAUUAAAUUUAUUUUUUAUGUGGAGGGUCCAUCACAAUGGCUUGCCAUUGGGGCCGUCAUGUGUCGCCUGGGCGUUGCACUACUGCCCAGGCUAGGCGCACCCCAA